AUAGCGUAUAUUAAAGUUGUUGCAGUUAAAAAGCUCGUAGUUGGACUUCUGGGAGGGCGCCAAUGUCCGUUGCUUAACGUGUGCAGCGGCACCCUUCCAUCCUUCUGUUAACGUUUCUUGGUAUUCAGUUACUGGUUUCGGGCUCAGAUAUUUUACCUUGAGAAAAUUAGAGUGUUUCAGGCAGGCUUGCGCCGGAAUACAUUAGCAUGGAAUAAUAGAAUAGGACUUUAGUCUCCUUUGUUGGUUUGAGGGACUGAAGUAAUGAUUAAUAGGGAUAGUUGGGGGCAUUAGUAUUUAAUUGUCAGAGGUGAAAUUCUCGGAUUUGUUAAAGACUAACUUAUG
rnacentral:rRNA from 1 species